GGAUUGACAGCUUGAUAUUAGAAUUUUGACUUAGUAUUAAGUGUUCUGUGAGCCCUCACUUCACCUUCUUUAGUUACUCUCCUUGCCAGUCUCAACACACUGAUCUCUGUUGUGUGUGUUUGGGGAGGGUGGGGCGGUAAGAGUCAGGGAGAUAAGCUAAAAUUGUUUUUUUUUAUCAGAUGAUUGUACUCUGUAUAAUAUCUCCGUUUCCUGUGAAGUUUGUGUUUAUGCAGGGCAGCAGGGGAGACGAGGGGAAUCAUGAGUACAAAUACAGGAAAAAUUGUUUUUGUGCAGCGCCCCCACCUCCCCCCGGCUGGUUCUUCCACAGAUUGCAAAGAAAGCCUUGCCAUUUUUAUGAUUAUACAUGUAGAUGGAAAACAAGCUCUUCUUAGGAGUGAAAUGUUUUUUAAACUAAUUAGAGAUGAAUAUGAGAUUUUUUUCCAAAAAGUCGUCAUAAGGCCUGAUAAUUGGCGAGUUGUACUCUAGGUUUUUGACGCUUCUAUUAAUGAUAAAUUAAGUCCAGAUAGGAACCUCUGCUCCAGAGUUGCCAGAUAAUCAUUGAUGGGGUACAACCACUCUCCGUAUUUUUUUUUCUUUGCUCUCCCUUGGUUUCUGUGUAUCUUUCUAAACCUCAAGCAUUUCUUCUUAUUUUGAUCUGUAAUUUAAGCUGACUCAAUAGCACCAAUAAAUAAUAUGAAAUAUGUGUCCUUGCUCUGAAGUGUGAGAGGUCUUUAGGUAGGAAUAGGAUAAAAGAGGACCAGGCAGUUGCAGUAUGCACAUAAAGGAGAGAUAAAGAGAUGAUAAACUAAGGCUGAGGAAAUUGCUCUGAUACUUUCUUCACCUCUAACAUAUCUUUUGUGUUCCUGCCCUUAUACAUUGUGCUAUUAGGAAGAAGACACAUGUUACUGUAUUGUGUAUUAAAAGUAGUAGGUAGGUAGAACCAAUAUAUUUUUCAACUAAGUAAGUGUAUACACUUAGUAUAUAUAAUUAAAAAUUGGUAUAAGAUAGUCAUUAAAAAUACCUGCAUAUUAUGUUAAAAGUAUACAAUCAUUGUUUCUGUAAUGAUGAUGGGUAUUCAGAUUCUUAUUUUGCUUUGUGAUUAUAGAGGAAAAUACUGUUUUUAAAAAUGUAUAUUGCAGCAGUUUUGGGGUAAACAGCAAUCUGAAAAAAAAGCAUCACGUUAUUGUAUGAAAUAUGAGUGUUCGAAUUUGUUUUGUUCUGGGGAUAUCUCCUGAAAGUACCCUAAAGUUAUGGAUGUUACAGCUAAAUUUAAGUCUUUUUUUUUUUUUUAAAUAUUAGCCAUGUUAUUAGUGAUUGCUUUUUAUUUGGCAUUAAAGUGAAAAAGAAGAGUGAUACAGGUUUUCAGUAAGAAAAGAUAAAAUUUGGGAAAUAUGAAAGGAGGGUAGUGAGGAGAAUGAAGUCAGGUAGAUCUGAAACUCUACAACCUGAUAUUUUUAUAAUCGUUUUGAAAAUACAUUAUCAAGUCGUUUCUAAAUAAGGCAAGUUACACAUUGUGCCAAGUACUUAGAACAUAUAAAAAAAUGAAUUGUGAUACUAUGUCUUUUAAUAUAUAAUUUGCAAUUUUCUAUAUUAAAAUGCUACAAGGAGUCUAUGUCAUUGAUGUUAUCUCCAAAUAAUAGAAUUUAUCCUUAUUACCACU
rnacentral:lncRNA from 1 species